rnacentral:lncRNA from 1 species
UCGUCAACAACUUGCAAAUGAAAAAUGUCGAUGGCAGUCUUCUUGUGAUGACACCUCAUCACACUCUCGAGGAUGUAGACCAGCCCAAACUUCAAUCUAUCUAGCAUCUGGUCGCACCCCCUGAUCGCGACCAUCAAGUCGGGUAGAAGCACCAACCCAUGUCCCUAGAAGUACGUCUUGUACAGCCUAUUGCUUCUCUCAAUGGCUGUAUCGUCGCCCGUAAUCCUCAGUCCAGUGAUCAAUGUAAACUCAAACGUCGAGAAACUGACAACCUUGCCUCCGAGGUCGAACUGGAGGGAAUCGCCGUCGAUUGGCCUCAGAAGCUGACAUAGAAGUACAUCGAUGAUCU